GUGGUGGAACUGAAGUCCCAGUUGAAGUUGCGCAGCUUGCCCGUGUCCGGCACCAAAAACGGCCUCAUCGAGAGGCUGAGGACCUACCAGGAACUGAAUGGAGGCGGUGACACUACCUCCUCUCCAACAGCAGGGGGUAUCGCAGGGCCGGGGGCUGCAGGAACAGGAAGAUCCUCCCAAGCUGCUGCAGCCGCCACCACCACCGACAACACAUCACAACAGCAACAGUUUCGGUGCCGCCAGACAUCCUCUCUGACAAGUCAGCUAGGUAGCACUGCCACUCCACCUUCAGCCUCUCCUCAGCAGCUUGUGACCUGCAGUGGCUUAGUCUCAUCACCGGCCGUCUUCUCCCCCCCUCUCUGACCGCCCGCCGGCCACCAGCAGCCCAGAGGAUUCCAGCUUCUGCAGCGAUCCUUCGGGGGAAAUGAUGAGGUCACCUGUCACACAGUCGAACCUUCAGCUGUGUCCAGGUGCUCGGCUUCAAACUGAUAUCAAAGAAGAGGUCUCAUGCUCCACCCCAGCUCCCUGCCAGUUCUCUUCAAAGCCGCCAGCCUCUCUGCAGAAACACUGCCUGGUCUCAUCAGCUGCCCCCAACACUAAAACCGCCGCUCCAUCACAGACUAUUGACAAAGACAAGAUGCUGCGGGAGAAAGACAAGCAGAUAGAGGAGUUGACCAUGAUGCUGAGGCAGAAGCAGAGGCUGGUGGAUGUGCUGAGGAUGCAGCUGGAGCACGGCAAGAGAGUUUCGGAGCCAGUGGUUCUUGUAAGAGUGAAGCAAGAACCUCCUGAUAAGCCCGGUGUACCUCUCUCGUGCGGCCAGCCCCCAUUUCUCCUUCAAACAUCGUGCGUCAUGGAUGCCACUAAGUUUGCCGUCAAACAGGAGGUCAUCCAGACAGAGGACGUUGUGCCUGAGACAACUAUGCAGUCAGUGAACUCUCGUGGAUUACCGCGGCCCUGCAACCAAACUCAGGAGGCACAGGAGCAGAUCCAGCUGCACACGAAGCCACAGAAAGAACAACACGACGGUCUCCAGCAGAGCCCUCUGCAGCUGGCCCAGCAGCAGGCCAUACAGAAACUCUUGCUGCAGCAGCAGCAAAACAUCCAGAGGUGUAACCAGGUGCUGGAAAAUCAACAGAACCUGCAGAGACUGUCUCAGCAGAGAAAGAAGAAAUCUCACAAACAGCAGCUCAAACUGCAGCAGCAGGAGCAACUGUUGCAGUCGCAGCAGAUGCAGCUGAAGCAACAGAUUCUAAUGAAACAACAACAAAAAAUGCUGUUUCAGCAGCAAAUGAAGCGGCAGCAACCGACUAAACAACCACAGCAAAUCCAGAUACAGACCGAGAUACAUUUGACGCAGCACCCGGUGCAAACGCAACAGAAACAACAGGUGCCGCAGCAGCAGUCGCCACAGGUGUCUCAAGAGUACAUCAAAGAGCAGUCAGGCUCGGCCCCCUCGUUCCCGCCCUGGUCAGACUCCACCCCGGCCCUGGUCACUGACGGCAACGGCAACCACUUCCUGAUUGCACUGAGCAAUCACCUCACUGAGAACCAAAGAGCUGACACACCCGAGGCAACCAAUCCAAUCACUCUCCAGGCCCAGAAUAGGCGACCUCAGGGAUCUGUAGACGAACCACAGCAGGGAGCUGCUCAGUGUGUAACUGCACCGCCCAGUCUGCAGCCUUUCCUAAAGGACCAGGAGGCCGCUCCCUCAUGGAAACACACCUCAUCACCCUGCUCCCAAACUGAGGUCUGCUCUAGCCUGGACGUCUUGUUCAGUCCUCUGUCUCCGGCUUCCAAUCAGACAGCUGCCUCUUCACCCGAUAACAAAGUACGAUGGGAGCACUGCAUGCUCUCAAUGCGUCACUGCACACACAAGCUAUUUUCCUCAAUACCUUUUUUACUCACAAGGCUGCAAAGUGAAUCAAGUGUUUGUGAUCCAAAAUGUGAGAUUUUAACUGCCUCACACCACGUCACAUCAAAUGCUCAUGUCACGUAG
rnacentral:lncRNA from 1 species